rnacentral:rRNA from 1 species
AUAAGCAGAGGAAAAGAAACCAACAGGGAUUGCCUCAGUAUCGGCGAGUGAAGCGGCAACAGCUCAAAUUUGAAAUCUGGCACUUUUUGUGUCCGAGUUGUAAUUUGGAGAGGAAACUUACGGUGAAGCCUUAAUAUUUAAGUUCCCUGGAACGGGAUGUCAUGGAGGGUGAGAAUCCUGUAUGUAAUAUUGGGCAGAUCCACAUGUUUAGUUCCUUCAAUGAGUCGAGUUGUUUGGGAAUGCAGCUCUAAACGGGAGGUAAAUUCCUUCUAAAGCUAAAUAUUGGCCAGAGACCGAUAGCGGACAAGUAGAGUGAUCGAAAGAUGAAAAGUACUUUGAAAAGAGGGUUAAACAGUACGUGAAAUUGUUGAAAGGGAAGCAUUUGCAACCAGAUUCAUUACAAGUUGGCUCAACCUGACCAUCUGGUCUGGUGUAUUCUACUUGUAUUAUGAGGUCAGCAUCGGUUAGGAGGGUAAGAUAAAUAUAAUAUGUUAGUAGAGUCAGGUCUCCUGACUUUUACUUCAGAUUAUAGCAUAUUAUCACUCUGGACCGAGGAAAGCACUUUUUUGUAAGGAUGUUGGCAUAAUGGUUGUAAGUGACCCGUCUUGAAACACGGACCAAGGAGUCCAACAAUCACGCGAGUGUUUGAGUAUCAAGCUCAUGCGCGAAAUGAAAGUGAGUGAGGUGGGAACAUUUUAUGUGCACCAUCGACCGAUCCGGAUGUCUUCGGAUGGAUUUGAGUAAGAGCGUGGCUGUUGGGACCCGAAAGAUGGUGAACUAUGCCUGUGUAGGCUGAAGCCAGGGGAAACCCUGGUGGAGGGCCGCAGCGGUUCUGACGUGCAAAUCGAUCGUCAAACAUGGGUAUAGGGGCGAAAGACCAAUCGAACCAUCUAGUAGCUGGUCACGC